rnacentral:rRNA from 1 species
GUGUUCAUCCUUGGAAUGGUUGUUAUACCCCAUAUGCUUCCGAGUGAAAUGAAUUUAUUCGCCUAAAGAGAAGCUCGCGGCUGAUUAGCUUGUUGGUAGGGUAAGAGCCUACCAAGGCGACGAUCAGUAUCUGGUUUGAGAGGACGAUCAGACACACUGGAACUGAGACACGGUCCAGACUCCUACGGGAGGCAGCAGUGGGGAAUUUUCCGCAAUGGGCGAAAGCCUGACGGAGCAAUACCGCGUGAGGGAAGACGGCCUAUGGGUUGUAAACCUCUUUUUUCAGGGAGGAAUAACUGACGUGUACCUGAAGAAUAAGCAUCGGCUAACUCCGUGCCAGCAGCCGCGGUAAGACGGAGGAUGCAAGUGUUAUCCGGAAUCACUGGGCGUAAAGCGUCUGUAGGUUGUUGAACAAGUCAACCGUUAAAUCUUGAGGCUCAACUUCAAAAUCGCAGUCGAAACUGUUUGACUAGAGUAUAGUAGGGGUAAAGGGAAUUUCCAGUGGAGCGGUGAAAUGCGUAGAUAUUGGAAAGAACACCGAUGGCGAAGGCACUUUACUGGGCUAUUACUGACACUCAGAGACGAAAGCUAGGGUAGCAAAAGGGAUUAGAUACCCCUGUUAGUCACCGCGUUACUCCCC